rnacentral:rRNA from 1 species
CAAUAGCGUAUACUAAUGUUGUUGCAGUUAAAAAGCUCGUAGUUGAACUUCUGGUAGGAGUGUCCCGGCCUUUUUGUUUUUACAAAUUGUAUGCUGUGUGACAUCUCUGGCCAUCCUUCUUCUUUGUUUAAAGAAGAUCUUUCACUGUAAAAAAAUUAGGGUGUUCAAAGCAAAAGUUUCUUUGGAAUAUAUUAGUAUGGGAUGAUAAGAUAGGCUCUAGAUGCUAUUUUGUUGGUUUGCACAUUUAGAGAAUGAUUAACAGGGACAGUUGGGGGUAUUCGUGUUUACAUGUCAGAGGUGAAAUUCUUGGAUUUUGGAAAGACGAACUACUGCGAAAGCAUUUACCAAGGAUGUUUUCAUUAA